AGGUGCUUAGUUUAACAAAAACAGCUGAUUUCGGCUCAGCAGAACAUGGUUUAACCCCAUGAGCACCUU
rnacentral:tRNA from 1 species